AGGAUGAACGCUGGCGGCGUGCCUAUUACAUGGAAGUCGAACGCACCACUUCGGUGGUGAGUGGCGAACGGGUGAGUAACACGUAGAUAACCUGCCCUUAAGACGAGGAUAACCAUUGGAAACGAUGGCUAAAACUGGAUAGGAAUAUUGGAGGCAUCUCUGAUAUUUUAAAAGACCUAGCAAUAGGUAUGCUUAAGGAGGGGUCUGCGGCGCAUUAGUUAGUUGGUGAGGUGAUGGCUUACCAAGACGAUGAUGCGUAGCCGGACUGAGAGGUUGAACGGCCACAUUGGGACUGAGAGACGGCCCAAACUCCUACGGGAGGCAGCAGUAGGGAAUUUUCGGCAAUGGGGGAAACCCUGACCGAGCAACGCCGCGUGAAUGACGAAGUACUUCGGUAUGUAAAGUUCUUUUAUUGGGGAAGAAUGGCUAGCGGAAAAGCUAGAUUGACGGUACCUGAUGAAUAAGCCCCGGCUAACUAUGUGCCAGCAGCCGCGGUAAUACAUAGGGGGCAAGCGUUAUCCGGAAUUAUUGGGCGUAAAGGGUGCGUAGGUGGUUAGAUAAGUCUUAGGUGUAAGUGCAGAGCUUAACUCUGUGAUGCUAAAGAAACUGUCUGACUUGAGUGUGGUAGAGGCAAGUGGAAUUCCAUGUGUAGCGGUAAAAUGCGUAAAUAUAUGGAGGAACACCAGUGGCGAAGGCGGCUUGCUGGGCCAUAACUGACACUGAGGCACGAAAGCGUGGGGAGCAAACAGGAUUAGAUACCCUGGUAGUCCACGCCGUAAACGAUGAGUAAUAAGUGUUGGAGAA
rnacentral:rRNA from 1 species